UCGCCUUUGGCGUUAAUCGCUGUUGUGACUAUUUGCUGGUUUUCUACUGGAGUUUCGGCUUCUUUAGUGGCUAGCGAGUUUACUUUGAAUAAAUUAGAGUGCUCAGAACAAGCGUUUGCUUGAAUGGUCGAUCAUGGAAUAAUAAAAGAGGACUUCGGUUCUAUUUAUUGGUUCAGGAACUGAAAUAAUGGUUAAGAGGGACAAUUCGGGGGCAUUCGUAUCCCUGCGCGAGAGGUGAAAUUCGUGGACCGCAGGGGGACGCCCUAAAGCGAAAGCAUUUGCCAAGAAUGUCUUCAUUAAUCAAGAACGAAAGUCAGAGGUUCGAAGGCGAUUAGAUACCGCCCUAGUUCUGACCGUAAACUAUGCCAUCUAGCGAUCCGAUGGGGUAUUGUUGCCUUGUCGAGGAGCUUCCCGGAAACGAAAGUCUUUCGGUUCCUGGGGUAGUAUGGUUGCAAAGCUGAAACUUAAAGAAAUUGACGGAAUGGCACCACCAGGAGUGGAGCCUGCGGCUUAAUUUGACUCAACACGGGAAAACUCACCCGGCCCGGACACCGUAAGGAUUGACAGAUUGAAAGCUCUUUCUCGAUUUGGUGGUUGGUGGUGCAUGGCCGUUCUUAGUUGGUGGAGCGAUUUGUCUGGUUUAUUCCGAUAACGAGCGAGACUCUAGCCUGCUAAAUAGUGGCUGGAUUUUUAAGUCCAGUCUACUUCUUAGAGGGAUAAGCGGUGUUUAGCCGCACGAGAUUGAGCGAUAACAGGUCUGUGAUGCCCUUAGAUGUCCGGGGCUGCACGCGCGCUACAAUGGAAGAAUCAGCUGGCCUAUCCAUUGCCGAAAGGCAUUGGUAAACCGUUGAAACUCUUCCGUGACCGGGAUAGGGAAUUGUAAUUAUUUCCCUUGAACGAGGAAUUCCUAGUAAGU
rnacentral:rRNA from 1 species